rnacentral:rRNA from 1 species
UACGGGAGGUGCGAGCGUUGAUCCGGAAUCAGCUAGGGCGUAAGGCGCGUAGGUGGCCUGUGGAAGUCUGCGGUGAAAGCCCGGCGCUCAACGCCGGGUCGGCCGUGGAUACUCGUCGGGCUUGGAGCUUACUAGAGGCAUGAUGGGAUUCCGGGUGGUAGCGGAUGGAAUGCGUAGGAGAAUCCGGAACGGAAGCACCAGGGUGG